rnacentral:rRNA from 1 species
CAGCCGCCGCGGGAAUACGAAGGGGGCUAGCGUUGUUCGGAUUAACUGGGCGUAAAGGGUGCGUAGGCGGGUUUUUAAGUCAGAGGUGAAAUCCCAAGGCUCAACCUUGGAACUGCCUUUGAUACUGGAAAUCUUGAGUCCGGGAGAGGUGAGUGGAACUGCGAGUGUAGAGGUGAAAUUCGUAGAUAUUCGCAAGAACACCAGUGGCGAAGGCGGCUCACUGGCCCGGAACUGACGCUGAGGCACGAAAGCGUGGGGAGCAAACAGGAUUAGAUACCCGCGUAGUCCCUGUCUCUUAUAC